rnacentral:rRNA from 1 species
GACGAACGCUGGCGGCGUGCUUAACACAUGCAAGUCGAACGGAAAGGCCCUGCUUUUGUGGGGUGCUCGAGUGGCGAACGGGUGAGUAACACGUGAGUAACCUACCCUUGACUUUGGGAUAACUUCAGGAAACUGGGGCUAAUACCGGAUAGGAGCUCCUGCUGCAUGGUGGGGGUUGGAAAGUUUCGGCGGUUGGGGAUGGACUCGCGGCUUAUCAGCUUGUUGGUGGGGUAGUGGCUUACCAAGGCUUUGACGGGUAGCCGGCCUGAGAGGGUGACCGGCCACAUUGGGACUGAGAUAGGGCGCAGACUCCUACGGGAGGCAGCAGUGGGGAAUAUUGCACAAUGGGCGGAAGCCUGAUGCAGCAACGCCGCGUGCGGGAUGACGGCCUUCGGGUUGUAACCCGCUUUCGCCUGUGACGAAGCGUGAGUGACGGUAAUGGGUAAAGAAGCACCGGCUAACUACGUG